rnacentral:rRNA from 1 species
GACGAACGCUGGCGGCGUGCCUAAUACAUGCAAGUAGAACGCUGAAACUUGGUGCUUGCACCGAGCGGAUGAGUUGCGAACGGGUGAGUAACGCGUAGGUAACCUGCCUGGUAGCGGGGGAUAACUAUUGGAAACGAUAGCUAAUACCGCAUAAGAGUAGAUGUUGCAUGACAUUUGCUUAAAAGGUGCAAUUGCACCACUACCAGAUGGACCUGCGUUGUAUUAGCUAGUUGGUGGGGUAACGGCUCACCAAGGCGACGAUACAUAGCCGACCUGAGAGGGUGAUCGGCCACACUGGGACUGAGACACGGCCCAGACUCCUACGGGAGGCAGCAGUAGGGAAUCUUCGGCAAUGGACGGAAGUCUGACCGAGCAACGCCGCGUGAGUGAAGAAGGUUUUCGGAUCGUAAAGCUCUGUUGUAAGAGAAGAACGGGUGUGAGAGUGGAAAGUUCACACUGUGACGGUAUCUUACCAGAAAGGGACGGCUAACUACGUG